rnacentral:rRNA from 1 species
AUGGCCUAUAAAGGUGAAACCGCGAACGGCUCAUUACAACAGCUAUUAUAUACUUGAUCUUGAUAUCCUACGUGGAUAACUGUGGUAAUUCUAGAGCUAAUACAUGC